GUGUGACAGACACUGGUGAACUUCAGCUCCACUCUGUGUGUAAAAGUUCUUUUCUAAAGGAGAAGAGGAGACCACUACCAAAAGACAGAAGACAUAAUGAUCAGGAUCAGCAUUGAAGACUUGAUGGAACAGGAGCCUGUCGGGAAUAAAUCCAGAACGUGGGUCCAAAGCAGCAAGAAAGGGUGCCAAGCAGUACAACAGACCUGAAUGACUUUCAGAAUCCUUGGAAGAUUUAAAGCCAUAUACUGUAAGUACCAGUUAUGGAGAGAAAGAAGACGAAAGACGUGGAUGUGAUAUUACAACAUAUCCUUAUGGAUGUUCAUCAUUGUUAAAUGUAAUUGUAACUAUAGUAGUUGAAGGUUAAGUGUUUUUAAUUUUUCAUUUGGAUGCCUUUUCAGUGGUUCAGUCCAGGUUUAGGUCUGGAAUUACAUUGCAUCUCAAAGUUGACUGUUGAAGAUGUUCCCAGUUUUCUUGCCAUCUUGGAGUUAUCUUGGUUUCUUGAAAUGUAUUUGUAAUUUGCCCACUUGUCCUUACACAUGCACCUUAAAGUAAAAUUUUAAGCCAAUUUCCAAUGAAGUUGUUUGCUCAA